GUCUACGGCCAUGCCACCCUGAACGAGCCCGAUCCCGUCUGAUCUCAGAAGCUAAGCAGGGUCGAGCCUGGUUAGUGCUUGGAUGGGAAACCACCUAGGAGGACCAUGUGCUGUAGGCG
rnacentral:rRNA from 1 species